rnacentral:rRNA from 1 species
CCUGCCCCUGUGAGGGGGAUAACUGCUGGAAACGGCAGCUAAGACCGCAUAGGCAUACAUGACGCAUGUCGAGUAUGUUAAAUAUCCCACGGGAUAGCACAGGGAUGGGCUUAUGACGCAUUAGCUAGCUGGUGAGGUAGAGGCUCACCAGGGCGACGAUGCGUAGCCGGCCUGAGAGGGUGGACGGCCACACUGGGACUGAGACACGGCCCAG